UUGACUGAUGGACCUUACAGAUAAUUGUAUGUGUGGGGUACAGUGAUGAAGUAGUCAUUCAAAAAUCAUGUUAAACACUAUUACUACACAGAGUCCAUGCAACUUAUUAUCUAACUUGUAAAGCACUUUAUUAUUCCUGAACUUGCCAUAACAAAGGGGUUGACUCAAUUGACUGACUUAUUGACACAUUUGAUACAUUUAGAAAAAUUUAGAAAAACAUAAUUCCAUUUUGACAUCCAUGAUGUUCUGAGUAAAUCUGACCUGCAAUUUGACCUUGGCCUAUAUAACUUUUAUGCAGUGUGUCCUAGCAACAACCUGCACAGAAAUGGUGCGACAACAGAGAUUUAUGUAUGAUUUCCCUAUUACGCUCAGAGGUUGAGCAACACUGAAGUUGUGCUAAAACUGAGUUUUGACAAAUUAUUAAUGACGACGUGUGAUCACCGAUGGAUGGUGGAUUUAAGACUGUUUUACAUGCAUCCAACCUUUGGUUCUAACUUUUCAACGAUUGGGUUUAUCAACCCAGGGAAAAGGGUGUCUGAAAGAGGACAUUCUCAGCAACAUUUCGAUAAGGGAAACUUGUUGUACUUACAGUACUGAUCUUUCUGUGUUUACUGUACCUACUCUACCGGGUCAAAUUGACCCAGAACAUAACUUGUGUAUUGCCUUUUUCCCCGUUGCUCAUCUUAUAAUCACAGCAAAGGUCAAGCUACAUUGACCAGUUAUUUAGGCACUUCAUUCCCUAAUACUACAUCAUAUCCCUCUUGCUCAUCUCAGAAUCAAAGCAAGUACUUUAGUGUAGCCUGUGGCACUUAAAUUCUCUCAAUGGACAAAAACAUCUAUUUCUGUCAUGAUAAAUGACAGAAACAACUUUAUUUGUAUUUACAAAUGGCAUAAAAGUUUGAUAUUAAGGCACAUGAAUGUUCACAUGUUCCAGAAGGAAUAUCUGCCAAAAAACGUAUUUAGAAAGAAAAAAAUAGUACGUUGAAACGGCUCUCCUAUGAAGUGACUUGCAACAUACGCCUAGUUUCCUGGACGGGGUCACAAAUGUCAAUUGUUGCCUUCUCUGUAACAUUCAGUAAAUUUCAAUCACGGUGACGUUGUUUCAUGACAUAUAGACAUCAUAUAAAAAAACAUUAAAAAAAAAACAGUUUCCUGUUGUAUGAAAUGUUAUGAUACCAUUAAUGCCUGGAUCCCCGAAAGGUGAAAGAGCGCCACUGCUUGCCCCAGGAGCAUUUGUUAUUGUUUUUGUUUUGCUGUAUAAACAGAGGUGAGCACCGUCCAAAUGUAUUUGAGCAGCGUGGUAAAAGAUUGCAGU
ensembl:lncRNA